UACGUAGGGUCCGAGCGUUGUCCGGAGUUACUGGGCGUAAAGCGCGCGCAGGCGGCGGUGCUGGCCCGGCGUGAAAGCCCCCGGCUCAACCGGGGAGAGUCGUCGGGGACCGCACCGCUUGAGGGCGGUAUGGGCUGGUGGAAUGCCUGGUGUAGUGGUGAAAUGCGUAGAGAUCAGGCAGAACACCUGGGGCGAAGGCGGCCAGCUGGGCCGUCCCUGACGCUGAGGCGCGAAGGCGUGGGGAGCGAACGGG
rnacentral:rRNA from 1 species